CGAGCACCGAUUUCUUCGGAAUGACGUGCUGAGUGGCGGACGGGUGAGUAACGCGUGGGUACCUGCCUUAUACAGGGGGAUAACAGUUAGAAAUGACUGCUAAUACCGCAUAAGAUUGCAUGAUAAAAACUCCGGUGGUAUAAGAUGGACCCGCGUCUGAUUAGCUGGUUGGUGAGGUAACGGCCCACCAAGGCGACGAUCAGUAGCCGACCUGAGAGGGUGACCGGCCACAUUGGGACUGAGACACGGCCCAAACUCCUACGGGAGGCAGCAGUGGGGAAUAUUGCACAAUGGGGGAAACCCUGAUGCAGCGACGCCGCGUGAGCGAAGAAGUAUUUCGGUAUGUAAAGCUCUAUCAGCAGGGAAGAAAAAAAUGACGGUACCUGACUAAGAAGCCCCGGCUAACUACGUGCCAGCAGCCGCGGUAAUACGUAGGGGGCAAGCGUUAUCCGGAUUUACUGGGUGUAAAGGGAGCGCAGGCGGUGCGGCAAGUCUGAUGUGAAAGCCCGGGGCUCAACCCCGGGACUGCAUUGGAAACUGUCGUACUUGAGUAUCGGAGAGGUAAGUGGAAUUCCUAGUGUAGCGGUGAAAUGCGUAGAUAUUAGGAGGAACACCAGUGGCGAAGGCGGCUUACUGGACGAUAA
rnacentral:rRNA from 1 species